GUGCUUGCUUCUGCAGCACAGGUACUAAAAUUGGAACAGAGAAGAUUAGCAUGGCCCCUGCACAGGAAUGACAUGCAAAUUCGUGAAGCUUCCAUAUUUUUA